UACAGAGGGGGCAAGCGUUGUUCGGAAUUACUGGGCGUAAAGGGCGCGUAGGCGGCCUGUUAAGUCGAACGUGAAAUCCCCGGGCUCAACCCGGGAACUGCGUCCGAUACUGGCAGGCUUGAAUUCGGGAGAGGGAUGUGGAAUUCCAGGUGUAACGGUGAAAUGCGUAGAUAUCUGGAGGAACACCGGUGGCGAAGGCGGCAUCCUGGACCGAUAUUGACGCUGAGACGCGAAAGCGUGGGGAGCGAACAGG
rnacentral:rRNA from 1 species